rnacentral:rRNA from 1 species
ACGUAGGAUCCAAGCGUUGUCCGGAUUUACUGGGUGUAAAGGGUGCGCAGGCGGACUUGUUAGUCAGAGGUGAAAUCUCACUGCUCAACAGUGAAACUGCCUUUGAUACUGCAGGUCUUGAAUCCAGAAGAGAGUUGUGGAAUUCCGAGUGUAGCAGUGAAAUGUGUAGAUAUUCGGAAGAACACCAGCGGCGAAGGCAGCAACUUGGUCUGGUAUUGACGCUCAGGCACGAAAGCAUGGGGAUCAAACAGGA